AGCAGCGAUGGAGGUUGAGGCCAAAAAAGCUCACUGGAAAGAAUCACAUUUGGACAUCCAUUGGUGGUUACGAGAUAAAAGGGUUGGCUUUCUCAACAAUAAACCCGAACUGCAUCUAUAUUCAAGGGGUUGAUUAUGAGGUUUUCAUGAUUUAAAGUUUUAAGCCAUGGAAAAUCAAGCUCCUUUAAUUAUACCAAUGCUGUUAACACUUUGGUUAUUCCAAGAUAUGGAGCAAGUGGAGACUAAUCCUUCUUGUACUGACUUAGCAUAUGAGAAGGCUAUUUCAGAUGGUGUGGAUGUUCUUGACUGUCCUGUUUAAAUGUCCAAGGAUGGAAUACGUUUUUGCUUAAGCUAUAUUGAUCUUAUUGGGCUGUAAAGUAUUUAUUAUUAUCUGUGCAAUUUUCUGUUGUUGCUUUCAUCUCUAAAUUGUACUAAUGUAUCGUGUUGUGCAUGGCAGAGGCAGAACUCCUUACAGCUCCACCAAGUUGGUACAAAUCCUCUGCUCAAUCACUUUGACAUGAAUGGCACGAUCCUUUCACAAAUACAGUGUGCUCCUUCGUCAUCUUUUUCUAUCUGCUUACAUCCUAUAGGGGUAUGUUCUGUUUCAAAAUCAUUGCUAAUUGUGUUUAGUACCAGUUGUCUGCUCAAACAUGCUGACGGACUCCUUGUUACUCUCUGCUUAAGGUUUGAAGGAGUUGCAGAGUUUCCUUGAGAACUUGGGUAAUUGAGUUCCUUCAAUUUUCUUCUUUUUGAGGAUUAAGAUUCAUUUGUAAUUUUCUUCUUUUAAUAGUUGACAACUUAAAAAGACUACUAAAAUUUACUUUAGAAAUUAAUAUGCAGAGAUGUAUGAGUGUAAAGUGAAAAAUAUAAUUAAAAAAUGUAAUUUAGAAUGGUUGAAAGAAUCCUGUUAACUAGUUGCAGCGUGGAAUGUACUUCUAAAUCAAUGAGAACAAGCAUA